CGUAGGUGGCAAGCGUUGUCCGGAGUUACUGGGUGUAAAGGGCGUGUAGGCGGGAAGAUAAGUCAGAUGUGAAAUUCCAUGGCUCAACUGUGGCGCUGCAUCUGAAACUAUUCUUCUUGAGUGAUGGAGAGGAAAGCGGAAUUCCUAGUGUAGCGGUGAAAUGCGUAGAUAUUAGGAGGAACACCAGUGGCGAAGGCGGCUUUCUGGACAUUAACUGACGCUGAGGCGCGAAAGCGUGGGGAGCAAACAGGAUUAGAUACCCCGGUAGUCCCAGCCGUAAACGAUGGAUACUAGGUGUCGGGGGUAUCGACCCCUCCGGUGCCGCAGCUAACGCAUUAAGUAUCCCGCCUGGGGAGUACGGCCGCAAGGUUG
rnacentral:rRNA from 1 species